UAGGGAAUUUUCCACAAUGGGGGCAACCCUGAUGGAGCAACGCCGCGUGCAGGAUGAAGGCUUUCGGGUCGUAAACUGCUUUUAUCUGUGACGAAUAUGACGGUAGCAGAUGAAUAAGCCUCGGCUAACUCCGUGCCAGCAGCCGCGGUCAUACGGAGGAGGCAAGCGUUAUCCGGAAUUACUGGGCGUAAAGAGUUGCGUAGGUGGCAUUGUGUGUCGGUAGUGAAAGCGUGUGGCUCAACCAUAUACCCAUUAUCGAAACUGCAAAGCUAGAGGACGAGAGAGGUGCCUGGAAUUCCCAGUGUAGGAGUGAAAUCCGUAGAUAUUGGGAGGAACACCGAUGGCGUAGGCAGGGUACUGGCUCGUUCCUGACACUAAGGCACGAAAGCGUGGGUAGCAAACGGGAUUAGAUACCCCCGUAGUCC
rnacentral:rRNA from 1 species